rnacentral:rRNA from 1 species
CUAAUACAUGCAAGUCGAGCGGAUCGAUGGGAGCUUGCUCCCUGAGAUCAGCGGCGGACGGGUGAGUAACACGUGGAUAACCUGCCUGUAAGACCGGGAUAACUCCGGGAAACCGGGGCUAAUACCGGAUAACUCAGUUCCUCGCAUGAGGAACGGUUGAAAGGUGGCUUUUUGCUACCACUUACAGAUGGACCCGCGGCGCAUUAGCUAGUUGGUGAGGUAACGGCUCACCAAGGCGACGAUGCGUAGCCGACCUGAGAGGGUGAUCGGCCACACUGGGACUGAGACACGGCCCAGACUCCUACGGGAGGCAGCAGUAGGGAAUCUUCCGCAAUGGACGAAAGUCUGACGGAGCAACGCCGCGUGAGUGAAGAAGGUUUUCGGAUCGUAAAACUCUGUUGUUAGGGAAGAACAAGUGCCGUUCGAAUAGGGCGGCACCUUGACGGUACCUAACCAGAAAGCCACGGCUAAC